rnacentral:rRNA from 1 species
CAGCUGGUUGGUGGGGUAAGAGCCUACCAAGGCGACGAUCGGUAGCUGGUCUGAGAGGACGAUCAGCCACACUGGGAUUGAGAACGGCCCAGACUCCUACGGGGGGCAGCAGUGAGGAAUUUUCCGCAAUGGUCGAAAGACUGACGGAGCAACGCCGCGUGCAGGAGGACGCUUUUCGGAGUGUAAACUGCUUUUCUGUGGGACGAGAGUGGACGGUACCACAGGAAGAAGCCCCGGCUAACUACGUGCCAGCAGCCGCGGUAAUACGUAGGGGGCGAGCGUUGUCCGGAGUUACUGGGCGUAAAGGGCAUGCAGGCGGUCGGACGCGUUUUGUGUGACAGCGGGUGGCUUAACUACCCGAGUAUGCGAAAGACGGUUUGACUUGAGGGCUCGAGAGGGACACGGAAUUCCGGGUGGAGUGGUGAAAUGCGUAGAGAUCCGGAGGAACACCGAAGGCGAAGGCAGUGUCCUGGCGAGUGACUGACGCUGAGGUGCGAAAGCUAGGGGAGCGAACGGGAUUAGAUACCCCGGUAGUCCUAGCCGUAAACGAUGACCACCAGGUGUGGGAGGUAUCGACCCCUUCCGUGCCGGAGUAAACACACUAAGUGGUCCGCCU